CCCCCAUAUAACCCCCAUUUCCCACCAUCAGGUCAUUUUAUUUCCACGUUGUUCCCCCCCAUCAAUGGGGGGGACAUUAAAUAACAGAGCUGCCUCCAGCGCCAUAGGGUGCCCCAUAGGUGCCCAUAGGGUGCCCCAUAGGGUGGCCAUAGGGUGCCCCACAGCUGCCCAUAGGGUGGUUAUAGGGUGCCCCAUAGGUGCCCAUAGGGUGGUUAUAGGGUGCCCCAUAGGGUGGUUAUAGGGUGCCCCAUAGCUGCCCAUAGGGUGGUUAUAGGGUGCCCCAUAGGGUGGCCAUAGGGUGCCCCAUAGAUGCCCACAGGGUGGUUAUAGGGUGCCCCAUAGGUGCCCAUAGGGUGCCCCAUAGGUGCCCAUAGGGUGGUUAUAGGGUGCCCCAUAGGGUGGCCAUAGGGUGCCCCAUAGCUACCCAUAGGGUGGUUAUAGGGUGCCCCAUAGGGUGCCCCAUAGCUGCCCAUAGGGUGGUUAUAGGGUGCCCCAUAGGUGCCCAUAGGGUGGUUAUAGGGUGCCCCAUAGGGUGCCCCAUAGGUGCCCAUAGGGUGGUUAUAGGGUGCCCAUAGGUGCCUAUAGGUGUCCCAUAGGUGGCCAUAGGGUGGCUAUAGGGUGCCCCAUAGAUGCCCAUAGGGUGCCCAUAGAUGCCAAUAGGGUACCCCAUAGGUGCCCAUAGGGUGGCCAUAAGUGCUUAUAGGUGCCCCAUAGUUGCCCAUAGGGUGGCUGUAGGGUGCCCAUAGAUGCCCCAUAGGGUGCCCCAUAGGUGCCCACAGGUGCCCAUAGGGUGGCAUUGUGUGGCCAUAGGUGCCCAUAGGAUUGUUAUAGGGCGCCCAUAGGCGGCCAUAGGGUGCCUAUAGGAUGGCUGUAGGGUGCCCAUAGGGUGCCCAUAGAUGCCUACAGGGUACCCAUAGGUGCCCAUAGGGUGGCCAUAGGCGGCCAUAGGGUGGCUAUAGGGUACCCUGUAGGGUGGCCAUAGGGUGCCCCAUAGGGUACCCCAUAGGGUGGCUAUAGGGUACCCCAUAGGGCGGCUAUAGGGUGGCCAUUGGGUGGCCCAUAGGGUACCCCAUAGGAUACCCCAUAGGGUACCCAUAGGGGGCCCAUAGGAUACCCCAUAAGAUACCCCAUGGGAUACCCUAUAUUGUGGCUAUAGGGUGGCUAUAGGGUACCCCAUAGGCUGGCUAUAGGGUGGCCCAGAGGGUACCCCAUAGGAUACCCCAUAGGAUACCCUAUGGGAUACCCUAUAUUGUGGCUAUAGGAUACCCCAUA